ACACUCCUGCCGGGAGGCAGCAGUGGGGAAUAUUGCACAAUGGGCGCAAGCCUGAUGCAGCCAUGCCGCGUGUAUGAAGAAGGCCUUCGGGUUGUAAAGUACUUUCAGCGGGGAGGAAGGCAAUACGGUUAAUAACCGUGUUGAUUGACGUUACCCGCAGAAGAAGCACCGGCUAACUCCGUGCCAGCAGCCGCGGUAAUACGGAGGGUGCAAGCGUUAAUCGGAAUUACUGGGCGUAAAGCGCACGCAGGCGGUCUGUCAAGUCGGAUGUGAAAUCCCCGGGCUCAACCUGGGAACUGCAUUCGAAACUGGCAGGCUUGAGUCUUGUAGAGGGGGGUAGAAUUCCAGGUGUAGCGGUGAAAUGCGUAGAGAUCUGGAGGAAUACCGGUGGCGAAGGCGGCCCCCUGGACAAAGACUGACGCUCAGGUGCGAAAGCGUGGGGAGCAAACAGGAUUAGAAACCCCAGUAGUCCCAU
rnacentral:rRNA from 1 species